CUGUGCACCCCCGGGAUUAGUCGGGGCUAAGAGACUCGGACACCCGGUGCAAAUAAAAAACAAAAAAAAGGAUCCACCUUCUCUUUUUCAACACUUUCUAAGAUCCAACAAUGAAGUUUUAAAUUUUUUACAGUAAAUUACUAAAUCGGUGUUUAAACUAAAAAUUUUAACAUAAGUUUUCAACAUUUGUGAUAGGAUGAUGAUAUGAGCUGAGCUUAAAGAAAGAAGUGAGGUUUCAUAUAGCUGACUCCAACUUGUUUGGGCUUGAGGCGUAAUUAUUGUGUUGGCUCAAAAAUGUCCUGUUCAUUUUGCAUUAUUUGAUAAUAUACCUAAUUGGUUAGUUCUGAAAAGUGAGAAACCAGAAAAUGGGAGGUUCUAUAUUAUCCAUUAAUUAAGUAGAAAAGCAAGUGAAUUAAUUACGGUCGGAAAAACAUUAUUUUACAAUGGUGAUAUAUAUGCCAGGUUAUAUGAUUGUCUCUAUAAUGCUUUUUCCUGGUUAUCUUGCUGAAAUGAGAGGAAACUAAACUACGCUAUCUGAUAUCUUACAAUGCUGCCUUAUUGAGUUUGUCAUGGGUUUUAUAAUUUAUUCUACCAAUAUGUUAUACGUUUGUAGUUCAAAUUGAUUUGAUUGCGAAAGAACUAUAUUGUCUUUACAAAAUAAUGGUUUUCCAAGUGAUCAAAUUGAGAAGCACAUACUCAAUAAGGAGGAUACAAAUUGUGUAAAAUUCAGGGCGACCGGAGGAAAUGGUCCUGAGAGUGGAAAUAGCUGAGAUGAACUGCUGCUUUGCUUAGUAAGGGUUUUCAUGGACAUAGCUGAGAUGAACUGCUGAGAUGAACUGCUGCUUUGCUUAGUAAGGGUUUUCAUGGACAUGAUCAUUACGAGUUUUGGCUCAACUUGGGUAUCUUCCCCAGAGACAGCUUUCUCAUCUCAGCUUAUAGAGGUUUAGUUUGGACAAAAGAAUGGUUCCUAGAAUCAAAAUUUAUUCAGAACUCAGAGCUGGUUUUAUGAGGAUAAAAUUCCUGGUCUCUCUAUGAAUUCUAUACAAAAAGUGUAGGAUGACACAAUAACUUGAGAGCAUCUUUUAAACAAAGCGCGGCAUUCAUGCUGUUGGCUGAAUUAAGAGUACCAUAUUUACAUGUGGAAAUGAUCAUAUUUCAACACCAGUUAGCAAUGUGUUCUAGCUCUGUACAAGGCAGGUUCAAAGUUUACAAUUUGCACCACGGGUCAGCUUAUUUCUUUGCUAGUCGCUGCAAGCCCCCUUCUUAGCAUUACUUGUCAAUUUUCAGUAUGUUAUAUUCAGUGUUUUCUCCUUCUUAUAAUUAUUAAAAGGUAGCUCUGGCUAUUUCUUUGCUUUAGAUAAAGAGAAUGAGAGAUACCCCUUGAGUAUCUUUAACCAUAAUGCUAUCUCUUUAGCUUUCUUGAUUCCAACCUAAAAGAACAGUUUCUUUAGAAAUUCUUUCUCUCUGGUGCAUGACAAAAGAAAGUAUUACUACUA